rnacentral:rRNA from 1 species
UACGUAGGGGGCGAGCGUUGUCCGGAAUUACUGGGCGUAAAGGGCGUCUAGGCGGCCCGUUAAGUCCGCUGUGAAAGGCCGGGGCUCAACCCCGGAAGGUCAGCGGAGACUGUCGGGCUCGAGUGCCGGAGAGGGAUGCGGAAUACCUGGUGUAGCGGUGGAAUGCGUAGAGAUCAGGUGGAACACCGAUGGCGAAGGCAGCAUCCUGGCCGGAGACUGACGCUGAAGCGCGAAAGCUGGGGGAGCGAACGGG